GACGAACGCUGGCGGCGUGCCUAAUACAUGCAAGUUGAGCGCUGAAGGUUGGUACUUGUACCAACUGGAUGAGCAGCGAACGGGUGAGUAACGCGUGGGGAAUCUGCCUUUGAGCGGGGGACAACAUUUGGAAACGAAUGCUAAUACCGCAUAAAAACUUUAAACACAAGUUUUGAGUUUGAAAGAUGCAAUUGCAUCACUCAAAGAUGAUCCCGCGUUGUAUUAGCUAGUUGGUGAGGUAAAGGCUCACCAAGGCGAUGAUACAUAGCCGACCGGAGAGGGUGAUCGGCCGCAUUGGGACUGCGACACGGCCCAAACUCCUACGGGAGGCAGCAGUAGGGAAUCGUCGGCAAUGGACGAAAGUCUGUCCGAGCAACGCCGCGUGAGUGAAGAAGGGUUUCGGAUCGUAAAACUCUGUUGGUAGAGAAGAACGUUGGUGAGAGUGGAAAGCUCAUCAAGUGACGGUAACUACCCAGAAAGGGACGGCUAACUACGUG
rnacentral:rRNA from 1 species